rnacentral:rRNA from 1 species
AACGAACGCUGGCGGCAGGCCUAACACAUGCAAGUCGAGCGGGCGUAGCAAUACGUCAGCGGCGGACGGGUGAGUAACACGUGGGAAUAUGCCUUUCGGUUUGGAACAACUCGGGGAAACCCGUGCUAAUUCCGGAUACGCCCUUAGGGGGAAAGGAUUUAUCGCCGAAAGAUUAGCCCGCGUCCGAUUAGCUAGUUGGUGAGGUAACGGCCCACCAAGGCGACGAUCGGUAGCUGGUUUGAGAGAACGACCAGCCACACUGGGACUGAGACACGGCCCAGACUCCUACGGGAGGCAGCAGUGGGGAAUCUUGGACAAUGGAGGAAACUCUGAUCCAGCCAUGCCGCGUGAGUGAUGAAGGCCU